rnacentral:rRNA from 1 species
GAUGAACGCUGGCGGCGUGCCUAAUACAUGCAAGUCGAACGCUGGAAAUCUAGCUUGCUAGAUUGAAGGAGUGGCGAACGGGUGAGUAAUACAUAAGCAACCUACCCACGAAGACUGGGAUAAUCUCUGGAAACGGGGACUAAUACCGGAUAGGUAAUCGGAAGGCAUCUUCUGAUUAUUAAAGGUUAAAAACACUGGUGGAUGGGCUUAUGGCGCAUUAGUUAGUUGGUGAGGUAACGGCCCACCAAGACGAUGAUGCGUAGCCGGCCUGAGAGGGUGAACGGCCACAUUGGGACUGAGACACGGCCCAGACUCCUACGGGAGGCAGCAGUAGGGAAUUCUCGGCAAUGGGGGAAACCCUGACCGAGCAACGCCGCGUGAGUGAUGACGGCCUUCGGGUUGUAAAGCUCUGUUGUAAGGGAAGAACGGUAGAUAGAGAAUAUCUAAAUGACGGUACCUUACCAGAAAGCCACGGCUAACUACGUG